rnacentral:sRNA from 1 species
UGCCAUGUAUAUGAGUGAGUAUGACAACUAGAACCAUAACCGGACCUUAAAAUCCUAAGUAUUGAAUCUUUGUAAGAAGUUACAAAGACAAAGACUCAUACGGACUUCGGCUACACUAUCAAUGCUUUGAGAAGCAAGAAGAAGCUUGGUUAGUGUUUUGGAUUCAAAUAUGACUUGAUGUCAUGUGUAUGAGUGAGUAUAAAGACUAUAACCGCUACGGAUCUUAAAAGCUUAAGUAUUGUAUCCUUGUUAGAAGAUACAAAGACAAAUACUCAUAUGCACUUCGGCUAAACCAUCAAAGCUUUGAGAAGCAAGAAGAAGCUUGGUUAGUGUUUUUGAGUGAAAUAUGAGUAGAUGUCAUGUGUAUGUGUGAGUAUAACAAUUAGAAGCGCAGUUGGAUUUUAAAAUCCUAAGUAUUGUAUCCUUGUUAGAG